CACGUAGGGCGCAAGCGUUGUCCGGAAUUACUGGGCGUAAAGGGCGCGUAGGCGGCCCCUUUUGUCGCGUGUGAAAGCCCCGGGCUCAACCUGGGAACGGCGCGCGAAACGGGGGGGCUUGAGUUCGGGAGAGGAGAGUGGAAUUCCCAGUGUAGAGGUGAAAUUCGUAGAUAUUGGGAAGAACACCGGUGGCGAAGGCGGCUCUCUGGACCGAGACUGACGCUGAGGAGCGAAAGCCAGGGGAGCAAACGGG
rnacentral:rRNA from 1 species